GAAGCAACGUGUCCUGAUGUCAAUUAAACCACAUUGAGAAGCUGCUGGAGAAGAGCAAAGAACAAUUGAAAUUGCGUCAGUUGGAGAGUUUGUUUGCUAGUUUGUGACUAAACCGACCCUACCACGAAAUCUCACAGUCACUGAGAGCUGCCCUGCGAGGCUGCCGAGUGCUUCCACCCCACAGAGCCCAGGGAAUGUCAGCCCCGGGCCCUGAGGCUUCUCUGCAAGGAUGGGGGAAGGAACUCAAAAGCCAAAUUCUUCAGGCCAAGAGGAAGCCCUGAACAUCUGCAGUGAUUCAAAGGAACAGUCCAAAUGUGGGUCCUACAGAACCGAGUCAGACUGGAGAACAUCCCCCAAGGUGCGUGUUCUCCUGGCUCUGAGUGUGUUCCUGGGGAUCCUCAGCUUGAGCCUGCUCGUAACACUGACUGGUGAGUCCCACCCAGACACCCCCAUGGGG